rnacentral:lncRNA from 10 species
CACACACACACACACACACACACACACACACACACACGGGAAAUCUCUGGGGCUCUCCUUUUUCCACCGGUCUCGCCUCCUCCUAACACUGGUGUUGGUCGAACAAGCGCGAAACUCACAGAAGUUUCCCCGAAAACGAACAGCUUUAAAUGCCAGGAGGGAAAAUGUCGGGGGAAAAAGUGGAGGUCGGUGUUUCCCUAAAUGCAAAACAUCAGAGAGGAAUCUGAAAAGAGCUUUACUUUCCCUGCGAAAUCUCCAUUGUUGCUCAGCAAACAAUGGGAGCCUGGGCGACUGGAGGGCUGUGCGAAUGAAUAGGCGAUCCGCGGGAUGUGUGCGGGUCAGUGCCUGGGGUCCCGGGCCUAAAGCCCCUUUCUCAGCUUGCCACAAUAAACCAGCGCAAGGUUUAGUCCUUACUGGGUCACCGGCCAUCCUCUAUUAUUCAACACUUCACAACAAAAAACACUUAUUAAUCAGCGCUGACCAGAGGCCCCUUUUGAAACAAGAGAAGAGGGGAGAGAGAGAGGGAGUGAGAGAGAGAGGGGUGAAAAGAAGAUUGAGAAGCCCUGGACAGAUCUUUCUAAAGCCAGAGCAACCAUGGGGUACUUUCCUCCAGUGGCCAAAGUUUAUUUGACACAACAAAGUUUCUAAUCAGGCCACGGAGACCUGGAUUUCUCCUCAUUUGCCUCACUCCCGGUCUCUUCCUCUGAAGAUGCUGGAGACUUUGUUGCAAGAAAGGAUGGCUUUAGGUCAUGUUGCUGAGGCCUGAUCUUAAAGAUCUAAUUGCUAUUGGAAGAGAAUCCUGUUUCCCAACUGGGCCUCCCCUCUGGAGAUGGAGCAAGGAAGACUGUCCAACUCUGCUCUGGGCACCCUGCUGAUGGAUGAGGUGUCAGGCCAGUCGUCAUGUGAGGACUGGUUUCCAAAUGAUGAGAAAACUGAGGCUCUGAGAGAUGACAUCAUAAAGCCUUGUAAGACCCAGUUGCUGUGCUCCACCUUCAUACCUUCGCCUAUGUUAGAACUUCUGAGAAGCUGAAGCAUCACAUAUAAAAAGCCAAGACCAUCCUCAAGGAGUUUAAUGAAUGUGGCAUCACAAGAAAAAUAUGCAUCAACAUUGAAAAGAAAAGAAAUAAAAUUCCAUUAACAGAGCUUGAGGAAGUGGACUUGACUAAGCUGGAGUAAGGAGUGCAGAGAGUGAGGAGACAGGAUGCGAAACAAGAAGAUGAGGAAACUGAAGCCUGAGAACAACAUGAAUUCUACAAUACAUUUACCGUCAGAAGGCAGCGGUGUCAACGGCCACGACGACACCUGGAACUGAUUCCAAGACUUGUGGUCACCGUGGGAAUGCUAUUUAUUGUACAUAGUGACUCACAAAUCUAGGUUAUGUGAACUAUAAAAAGCCUGACUCAGAACUCCAGAGAGUAAGGAGCUAAUACUUUUUGAAAUAUAGGCCAUAGACUGUGAUAUAACGAUGUUUGUAGAGUUAUUUCUCAAGGCAGCAUUAUUCAAAGCAGCAUUCGACAUAGUCAUACAUCCAUUAAUGAAUAUGUGUCAUGACAUUAACCAAAAUAGCUUCAGAUAACAAUUAGCAUACGUACUUCUGGGCAUAUUUGGUGAGAGAGAAGGAAGUAGAGGUAGGACUGAGGUUGGAAGUGUGGGAAGGGGGAGGGACUCUAGCAAAGAAAGAAGGGUGGGCGCUGUGGAGGGCCAGUGAGGGAGGGGAACUGAGGCCAGGAUCCCCCAGCAGCCCAGGUCUGAGUCAUGGGGAGAGGACUGGAGGAUCUGGGAGAAGGACCAUGAAGCUUUCUUCUGCCCCAGCUCAACUUCGAUGUCACCCAAAAAUGUUAAGUUUCCCUUCAGGUCCUGCAUUUGAAUGAUUUUAGUUCUUCCUCCCUUACUCCAAAUUUCCCCAACAUUUAUCAAUAGCUGACAUUCCGUCAGAUACUGAGAAUUAAGAUGACCUAAAACGCAAAGGCUUGGAAAAGACAAUGGUCCCUUAGUGGAAAUAAAAAAUAGAACAAAUCCAUCAAAUGGAAAAGACUGAGGUGUGAUCAUUUCCUGUUUUGACUAAGGAGAGAAUCUGAAAACAGGAUACCAGCUACCUCAUCUAGGGGAGAAGAAGGAAUAAGGUUUUAAAAAGAGGGACAUGAAGACACAGAAUGAAACCUUCAAUAGCAUCACCACUCACAGUGGGGCCGUGGAAGGAGCUAAGCACCAAGUGUAUCAUACUCUGCAGCCAGGAAAGGGAGUUUUACCCUUAAAUGAUUUAUGAAGAUUCUGUGGGGGUGUUUUGUAGAUGUUAUUGGGAGUUUUAUUGUUUGCUAUUUCUGUUGUUUUUAACAUCGCUAGCUUCCUAUAAAGAAUUUUUCCCCCCAGGGGAUUCUAUCCCUGUAACUAUAUUGACUUAAUUCUGGAGCACCAGUGCAAUUAAAAGACAGUUCUAAUUAAUAGGCAAUAGAAUGGUUGUAUGUAAAAGAUUUCAGCAGUUUAUGCUUGGUGCACUAAACGAAUCUGAAAAAAGUCACAAAAGGCAUCAGAGCUCCAUUAGAAUUUAUCAGCUGAGAUGCUUGGAAUAUUUUUCACACUGGGUAGUCACAUCACUCCCUGCAGUUGAGAUUGGACUGAAAGAAAAAAAGGUCGACAUAUUUUUCUGUACCGGUGGCAGUAAAAUGGCUUCUCAUUUCAACUGAGAAGUACCAACCACCAGAGCAAAAGCACCUUUACAGCAGGAAUUCUACUUCUGACCCACCAAGGAAAAACACGAUAUAAUCACUGUCUCUAAUUUUCCAGCCAGCAGCCAGACUAACUGGGUCUGACUGUAGGAUUUGGGGUCAGACUGCCUGGGUUCCCACCCUGCCUCUGGCCACGAAGAAUAAGUAGAAUCCUGGACAGAUAAACUGAAUCUCUCCGCUUUCAUGUCCUCAUCUGCAAAAUGGGAUAGUAACAGUGCCUUCCUCCUAGGACUUGGUAAAGAUUGCAUGAAUAACUCACAUAAUGCAUUCAGAAUGCUGUUUAGCAGCACAGACAGCACUCGAUGAAUUUUGUGCUACGAUUAUUAUCCAGGUCCAUCAUUAGACACUGUGAUGGGGUGUAAAGAAACUGUAUGAUUAAGCACAUUCCAUACUUCAUAUCAUGAUCCAAUCUAAUAAUGCACAGUAGGGGGUGGAGAGGAAGAGGUUCUGAACUCUGAACUUUCAAAUAAAUGAAGUUCUGCCAUGAAACGCUGCACAAACCAUGACAAUUCCAAGUACUCUUCUAUUAAUGCCAAUGAUUUCCAAGCACUUGAACAAAAGAGGAUCGUUGGUUAUCCACAUAGGCUAAACAGUGUAAAUCUUUCACAUUGUAUUGUAUUAUCACUUAUGUACUUCUUGAAAACCAUUUUAUUGAGGUAUGAUUGACAUACAAAAAGCUGUUCAUAUUUAACCUAUACAACUCAGGGAUUUUGGAGAUGAGUAUAUACCCAUGAAACUAUCACUACUAUCUAUGCCAUAAACCUAUCAUCUCCAAAACUUCCUUUAUUAUAAUUAUUUUUAUGAUAACAGUACUUAACAUAAGAUCUACCCUCUUAGAAAAUUUUUCAGUAUACUAUCCAGUAUUGUUAAGUACAGGCACUAUGCUGUAGAUCUCCAGGACUUAUUCAUCUUGUAUAACUUUAAAAAAUAACAUCCUUGAUAGUCUUACUCCUACAUGCAGUCUUUCUAUAAACUUGCAAUAAAAAUAUUAUUAAGAAAUUUAAACAUUUAUUUCCCUACCUAUCCCAGGACAUCUAGAAAAGCAACACAUUUAUUGAGAAUUUUUGGUCUUUGCAUGAGUCUAAGAGUAAGAAAGUAUGAAUUAAGGUGGUCAAGACAUGCUGAGGGUCAUUUUGCUAAUCUUGUCGGCUUCCCAGGUUCUGAAAUCCCUGCCUGUGUUUGGAGAAUCCUCCCCUUAUUUGGCACAGUGUGCCAUUCUCGCAGUCACAGCAUUGGCAUGAGUCCUAGCCAUACCCAGAUCUUGAAUAGGAAAAAUUGGAUAGCUGCUCUGCAGCGUCCAGGCAGCAGCAGCUAUGACUCUAGGCAAAGCUACAAGUUCCAAGUUCCAAGUUCUGUG